CAGCCCUUGGGGUGAAGCCGCGGCAACGCGGCCGGGCAACUUCGCCAGCCCGAAUCCGACAG
rnacentral:other from 1 species